rnacentral:rRNA from 1 species
UGGGGAAUAUUGCACAAUGGGCGCAAGCCUGAUGCAGCCAUGCCGCGUGUAUGAAGAAGGCCUUCGGGUUGUAAAGUACUUUCAGCGGGGAGGAAGGGAGUAAAGUUAAUACCUUUGCUCAUUGACGUAACCCGCAGAAGAAGCACCGGCUAACUCCGUGCCAGCAGCCGCGGUAAUACGGAGGGUGCAAGCGUUAAUCGGAAUUACUGGGCGUAAAGCGCACGCAGGCGGUUUGUUAAGUCAGAUGUGAAAUCCCCGGGCUCAACCUAGGAACUGCAUCUGAUACUGGCAAGCUUGAGUCUCGUAGAGGGGGGUAGAAUUCCAGGUGUAGCGGUGAAAUGCGUAGAGAUCUGGAGGAAUACCGGUGGCGAAGGCGGCCACCUGGACGAAGACUGACGCUCAGGUGCGAAAGCGUGGGGAGCAAACAGG